rnacentral:rRNA from 1 species
CCUACGGGAGGCAGCAGUAGGGAAUAUUGCUCAAUGGGGGCAACCCUGAAGCAGCAACGCCGCGUGGAGGAUGAAGGUUUUCGGAUUGUAAACUCCUUUUGUUAGAGAAGAUAAUGACGGUAUCUAACGAAUAAGCACCGGCUAACUCCGUGCCAGCAGCCGCGGUAAUACGGAGGGUGCAAGCGUUACUCGGAAUCACUGGGCGUAAAGAGCGCGUAGACGGGAUAGCAAGUCAGAUGUGAAAUCCUAUGGCUUAACCAUAGAACUGCAUUUGAAACUGUUAUUCUAGAGUAUGGGAGAGGUAGGUGGAAUUCUUGGUGUAGGGGUAAAAUGCGUAGAGAUCAAGAGGAAUACUGAUUGCGAAGGCGACCUGCUAGAACAUAACUGACGCUGAUGCGCGAAAGCGUGGGGAGCAAACAGGAUUAGAUACCCCUGUAGUC